GGGUUGUGAGGUUAAGCGACUAAGCGUACACGGUGGAUGCCCUGGCAGUCAGAGGCGAUGAAGGACGUGCUAAUCUGCGAUAAGCGUCGGUGAGGUGAUAUGAACCGUUAUAACCGGCGAUUUCCGAAUGGGGAAACCCAGUGUGUUUCGACACACUAUCAUUAACUGAAUCCAUAGGUUAAUGAGGCGAACCGGGGGAACUGAAACAUCUAAGUACCCCGAGGAAAAGAAAUCAACCGAGAUUCCCCCAGUAGCGGCGAGCGAACGGGGAGGAGCCCAGAGCCUGAAUCAGUGUGUGUGUUAGUGGAAGCGUCUGGAAAGGCGUGCGAUACAGGGUGACAGCCCCGUACACAAAAAUGCACAUAUUGUGAGCUCGAUGAGUAGGGCGGGACACGUGGUAUCCUGUCUGAAUAUGGGGGGACCAUCCUCCAAGGCUAAAUACUCCUGACUGACCGAUAGUGAACCAGUACCGUGAGGGAAAGGCGAAAAGAACCCCGGCGAGGGGAGUGAAAAAGAACCUGAAACCGUGUACGUACAAGCAGUGGGAGCCUCUUAAUGGGGUGACUGCGUACCUUUUGUAUAAUGGGUCAGCGACUUAUAUUCUGUAGCAAGGUUAACCGAAUAGGGGAGCCGAAGGGAAACCGAGUCUUAACUGGGCGUUAAGUUGCAGGGUAUAGACCCGAAACCCGGUGAUCUAGCCAUGGGCAGGUUGAAGGUUGGGUAACACUAACUGGAGGACCGAACCGACUAAUGUUGAAAAAUUAGCGGAUGACUUGUGGCUGGGGGUGAAAGGCCAAUCAAACCGGGAGAUAGCUGGUUCUCCCCGAAAGCUAUUUAGGUAGCGCCUCGUGAAUUCAUCUCCGGGGGUAGAGCACUGUUUCGGCAAGGGGGUCAUCCCGACUUACCAACCCGAUGCAAACUGCGAAUACCGGAGAAUGUUAUCACGGGAG
rnacentral:rRNA from 1 species